rnacentral:lncRNA from 10 species
CUUCUCGGGUGGAUACUGCCAUUAGACCCAUUUUGCAGAUAAGCAAACCGAGGCACUGGGAGAAGAAGUAAUUUGCUCAAGGCCACCCAGGUGAUUUACAGCUGAGGAAUCCAUUACAGAGAGGAGAGUGACCUGUCAGAUUACCAAAAAUAUUCCAUCUAACAGGAAGAGAGACCAGAAGCUGUGAGGUUCUUGGAAAGGAAUGGAAGGGCCCGGGAGACUCAGCCCCUGAAGUGAUGUUGGCAGUUACAUCAUAACAGAGAGAUGGGAGAUGUCUGCAGUGGCUGGAGAAGGACAAACCUGAAGACACUAGAAAGAGGAGUUGGGUCCAGGCUCUUGGGUUCAAAACAGAAAGAGAUUCCUUCUCUCAUGGAACUUACAUUUUUGGACUGAGGAGAGACAGACAUGGUCUGGAACUGAAGUCUCAAUAGCUCCAAAGUAUGCCUGUAAUAAUAAACAUAAUAAUGAAUCUAUCUUUUUUUUUUUUUUUUUUGAGACAGAGUCUUGCUCUGUCGCCAGGCUGGAGUGCAGUGGAGCAAUCUUGGC